rnacentral:rRNA from 1 species
UACAGAGGGGGCGAGCGUUGUUCGGAAUUACUGGGCGUAAAGGGCGCGUAGGCGGCCCGCUAAGUCGAACGUGAAAUCCCCAGGCUCAACCUGGGAACUGCGUCCGAUACUGGCAGGCUUGAAUCCGGGAGAGGGAUGUGGAAUUCCAGGUGUAGCGGUGAAAUGCGUAGAUAUCUGGAGGAACACCGGUGGCGAAGGCGGCAUCCUGGACCGACACUGACGCUGAGGCGCGAAAGCGUGGGGAGCAAACGGG